UGUAACAUGAAAAAAAUAUUUUUAUUGUAUAGUUCUACUUUGGUUAGUUCCACUAGGUAGGAAAACAUCAACUUGGAAUGAUGACACAGUCAAGAUAAAGGUAAGUCAUUAAGUGAGAUUGGUUUUGCAAAUGGAAAAUGAUGACUGACAAAGUGUGACAACCCACAACAUAUUAGUGUUUUACCUAUCUUUCCAGGAUUUCUGUUGUGGAGUCAUAGCUUACGAAGAAUGUAGUGGAUUAUAUAAAGAUAGAAGAAAAAGGAUAGCCAUAUAUUUUUCAGCAAAACUGAUAACCCAUAUGAAUAGGAGAGCAUAGUGAACAGGAAAAUCAAAAUAUUGGCAUAAGAUGAAAUUUACAAUUGUGAUAAUGAAACCAGGGAGGAGGUUUAAAGAUAAAACCUACAGUGUAAUGUGUUGCAAGAACAGAGGACUUGACCAGGUAUACGGAUAAGAAUACAAGGAGAGCAUGCUGAUCAUGGAAAUUGGUAGAUUUGCACAAGGUCAACCUAUGAGAGUUAACCCUUAGAUGAUGAUAUUAGAAAUUUCUAUGCAUCACUGACUCCGGCGAUUUCUGACAACCGUCCUACCGUUUGGACGAGUCAGCUACGUGUAACAUAACUUCACUCGACUUGCUAGUUCUUUUAGCUGUAUCUGACAGAUCAAGCAGUUUAUGAUGGCUAUACAAGUGGCCCGGCAGUAAUGGGUUAAUGGAGUGCAUACUGAACAUGAAAUUCAGGUCUGCAGCUCAACCCAUGAGAGGGAAAGGAGAAUUAUUGAGCUUGAAAAUCAGGUCUACAGCUCAACCCAUGAGAGGGAAAGGAGAUUAUUAAGCAUAAGAAUCGGAUCUACAGCUCAACCUAUGGGAGUUAACCCAAUGGUGACAAGUGAAGGGGAAAAAAAAGAAAAAAAAAACUACGCUCUGGCAAACAAUGGCGGCUUUGAGCGCGUGAGUUCGGUACAUCAGCCCGAAUCACUGGCUCGCCGCAGUGUACAGCAACACGCCACGUUUCGAGUGGUUUGUUUUCACACCUAGCAGCGUCGCCCAUUGUGAAGGGGUUAAAGGAGAGCAUGCUGAACGUGAAAAUCAGGUCUGCAGGUCAGUCCAUCAGAGGUAACCCUUAGCCGUAGGGUGGCAUGUACAUAGAUGCCAUAGCAUGCCUGAACUAUAUUCCGGGUGGCAUGUGCAUAUGUACCAUGGUGCGCCAAUCCCGUUCUCCAGGGCCAUGUAUAGUCGUGGCACACAUGCUAGGGUUGAUGACACGAGCCCCUGGCAGCAGGGCCCAGGCCACAACCCACAACCCGGGAAUUGUCUGUCGGUUAAAGGAGAGCGUACCGACAAUGAAAAUUGGGCCUACAGAACACUUGGAAAUAUAAUAAGUCUGGUUUCAAGUAGCCAGAUGCAACCAUGGUACCAGAGCCAUCUCAACUUUUUAGUUCCAUUUCUACCCACAAAAAUGUUUGCCCAAAUCCUGCUAACAAGUUAUGCUCUGGCUCCCCAAAUUCCUCAAAAAGCAAGCCCAGACCUGGCUAUGAAUUGGGUCUUGCACUCAGAUAAUACUAGUGGAGUAUUGGUUUGAGGGCAACAGUAAUUGACUUGCAUAGGUUAAACCUAGAAGUGAGAGGGAGUGCAAUAAGAUUAGACUUCCACAGGUUAGUAUUUGUUUGAAAUUGCUUGGGCAUCUCUACAAAUAGUAGCAUUUGGAAAAUUAAGAAAAAAUUAAGAAACCUCAAAUAGCUCUGCAUAAAUCUUUUUUUAUUACCCAUGUGAAGGGUAGACCACAUUUAGCAUUUCUCUUCAUUCCAUUUUAUUGUAAAUUGAUAGUGUACUGUCCUGAUCUGAAAAUCUCCCCACCCACCCCGACAAUAGUGCGAAUAAAGCCUUCUAUUUGUAAAUAGUGUUAACCUACAGUUGUCAUUUCAUGUAUAUGUGCAUCAAAAAGUUAAUAUGAUGAUAGAUAUACCGCCCCAGUCUGAAAGUCUGAUGAUGGUUCUCUCUGAAAGAAAUACUUGCCAAUAAUGUAGGUUUAAAAGAUUCCAAUCUUAUUUAUAGAUUUUUUUUUUCUUGCAGAUAAAGCCACCAAUGUGAUAGUGGAACAACAGUGGACUAGAAUAGGUGAACCCAUCAGUGCGAGUGGAUACUGAUCCUGAGAAUUGGUAGUUUUGCAUGAGAUAAAACCUACAAAUUUAACUUACUGGAACAGCAGUGGACUUGAGUAGAUACAACCUGCAAAUGUGAUCUGGUACAAGGAGGAGAGAUAAGAUAUCAAUUGCUUUAUACUGAUGUAAAUACAGAGCUACAUCAUCAUGGUGUGCAUAAAGCUUGAAACAUCCUCGAUUUGAAGAAAGUGUAUUCCAGUUAACUUCAGUAAAAACAUCCACAUUUGAUAACGUUGCUAAUAAAGUUAGCCUUUGAAAC